CAGUAGCCGCGGUAAUACGUAGGUGGCAAGCGUUGUCCGGAAUUAUUGGGCGUAAAGCGCGCGCAGGUGGUUUAAUAAGUCUGAUGUGAAAGCCCACGGCUCAACCGUGGAGGGUCAUUGGAAACUGUUAAACUUGAGUGCAGGAGAGAAAAGUGGAAUUCCUAGUGUAGCGGUGAAAUGCGUAGAGAUUAGGAGGAACACCAGUGGCGAAGGCGGCUUUUUGGCCUGUAACUGACACUGAGGCGCGAAAGCGCGGGGAGCAAACAGGAUUAGAUACCCGCGUAGUCCCUGUCUCUUAUAC
rnacentral:rRNA from 1 species